AUUGAACGCUGGCGGCAGGCCUAACACAUGCCAGUCGAGCGGAUGAAGGGAGCUUGCUCCUGGAUUCAGCGGCGGAAGGGUGAGUAAUGCCUAGGAAUCUGCCUGGUAGUGGGGGAUAACGUCCGGAAACGGGCGCUACUACCGCAUACGUCCUGUGGGCGCCAGUGGGGGAUCUUCGGACCUCACGCUAUCAGGUGUGCGUAGGUCGGAUUAGCUAGUUGGUGGGGUAAAUGCCUACCAAGGCGAGGAUCGGUAACUGGUCUGAGAGGAUGAUCAGUCACACGGGAACUGAGACACGGCCCAGACACCGACGGGAGGAAGCAGUGGGGAAUAUUGGACAAGGGGCGAAAGCCUGAUCCAGCCAUGCCGCGUGUGGGAAGAAGGUCUUCGGAUUGGAAAGCACUUUAAGUUGUGGGGAAGGGCAGUAAUUUAAUACCGUGCUGUUUUGACGUUACCAACAGAAUAAGCACCGGCUAACUUCGUG
rnacentral:rRNA from 1 species